rnacentral:rRNA from 1 species
AACGAACGCUGGCGGCAUGCCUAACACAUGCAAGUCGAACGAGACCUCCGUGUCUACUUGCGCACGGGUGCGUAACGCGUGGGAACCUGCCCUUAGGCUCGGAAUAACUCCCCUACAGGGGUGCUAAUACCGGAUAAUUUCCUCUGACCAAACAUUUAUCGCCUUUGGAGGGGCCCGCGUUGGUUUAGCUUGGUGGUAUGGUAAAAGCCUACCAAGGCUUCGAUCCAUAGCUGGUCUGAGAGGAAGAUCAGCCACACUGGGGCUGAGACACGGCCGAGAAUCCUACGGGAGGGAGCAGAGGGUGAUAUAGGAAUAUCGGCGAAAGGCUGAACCAGCACUGCCGGGUGAGUGAUGAAGGCGUGAGAGAAGUACAGCAGUUUAAUCCGGGAUGAUAAUGACGGUACCGGGAGAAUAAGCACCGGCUAACUCCGUG